rnacentral:lncRNA from 1 species
UUAGGGGACUCUAUAAAUCAGAAGUACUAGCUUACAGGCUGGAAAUAACAUUAUGCAUUUUUUUCUAGGUGGCUUUUUGUUACUGAACGGGAUAUUAAGGGCCUACCUUAAUUACAGUGAGUUGGUUGAUGCGAUGACAACAAGCAGUAAGUGCAGAGAACUAUGAAGUGGGAAAUAUGAUUGCUUAGAAAGGGUUAACACGACGAUUAUUUUACUUGCAAACAAGAUUGUGUAAGAGAUUCACGAAUGUAUUGAAGUUUUGAGUUUCUAUUCAAACAUUUAUUGACUAUUUGUUUUGUAUGUUUGGUAUUUAGACAUAGGUUGACGCUUAUUAGACUUUUGUUUGCAAACAUUGGAAUCUUUGGAAGAUGAUUGAUUGAACUUUUUAAUUG